rnacentral:rRNA from 1 species
AGCAACCUGCCUACAAGAGGGGGACAACAGUUGGAAACGACUGCUAAUACCGCAUAAGACCACGCUAUCGCAUGGUAGAGAGGUCAAAGAUUUAUCGCUUGUAGAUGGGCUCGCGUCUGAUUAGCUAGUUGGUGAGGUAAUGGCUCACCAAGGCGACGAUCAGUAGCCGACCUGAGAGGGUGAUCGGCCACACUGGAACUGAGACACGGUCCAGACUCCUACGGGAGGCAGCAUG